rnacentral:rRNA from 1 species
CAAUAGCGUAUAUUAAAGUUGUUGCAGUUAAAAGCUCGUAGUUGGAUUUCUGCCAGGGUGCCAAUGUCCGCCGAAGUGCGUGCGCAGCGGCGCCCUCGCAUCCUUCUGUUAACGCCUCUCGGCAUUUACUUGCCGGUGGUGGGCUCAGAUAAUUUACCUUGAGAAAAUUAGAGUGUUUCAGGCAGGCUAGGCCGGAAUACAUUAGCAUGGAAUAAUGGAAUAGGACUACGGUCUCGUUGUUGGUUUGAGGGACUGGAGUAAUGAUUAAUAGGGAUGGUUGGGGGCGAUUAGUAUUUAAUUGUCAGAGGUGAAAUUACUUGGAUUUAUGAAGACUAACUACUGCGAAAGACAUUUGUCCAAGGAAUGUUUUCUAUUAAUCAAGAACGAAAGUUAAGGGGAGUCGAAGACGAUCAGAUACCAU